rfam:Campylobacter showae RM3277 contig00011, whole genome shotgun sequence.
AAGGUAUGGCAAGUGAUUGCUUUUGCGUAGGCAAAAGAGGAAAGUCCGAGCUGCAAUAAGACGGAGUUCCAUCUAACGGAUGGCUGGGGCGACCCAAGGGACAGUGUAACAGAAAGCAAACUACCGCUUCGGCGGUAAAGGUGAAACGGCGGGGUAAGAGCCCACCAGCGCGGCGUGCAAGCGCGGCGGCUAUAUAAACCCAACUCGCAGCAAGAAGGGAUGGUUUUGAGUCUUAUGUCAAACCCUUCGCUAGAGCCAAAUUGUAAAAUUUGGAGUAGAUAAAUAAUCACUCACGACAGAACUCGGCUUAUCGCCAUGCCUUUUUU